rnacentral:rRNA from 1 species
GACGAACGCUGGCGGCGUGCUUAACACAUGCAAGUCGAACGGAAAGGCCCUGCUUUUGUGGGGUGCUCGAGUGGCGAACGGGGGAGUAACACGUGAGUAACCUGCCCUUGUCAUUGGGAUAACUUCAGGAAACAGCGGCUAAUACCGGAUAGGAGCUCCUGAAGCACGUGGGGGGAUGGAGAGUUUCGGCGGUGGGGGAUGGUAUCGCGGCUUAUGAGCUGCUUGGGCAGGUAGGUGCGUACCAAGUUUGUGACGGGUAGCCGGCCUUGGAGGUUUACCAGCCACAAUGGGCCUGCGAUACGCCGCAGUCGCCUACGUUACGCAGCAGUGGGAAGUAUUGCACAGUGGGCCCGAGCGUGAUGCAGCAGCGCCGCGUGCGGGAUGCCCGCCUUCGGGUUGUAAACAGCUUUCGACUGUGACGAAGAGUGAGUGACGGUAAUGGAUAAAGAAGCACCGGCUAACUACGUG